GAUCUGGCUCAGGAUGAACGCUAGCUACAGGCUUAACACAUGCAAGUCGAGGGGCAGCAUGAGAUUAGCUUGCUAAUCUUGAUGGCGACCGGCGCACGGGUGCGUAACACGUAUCCAAUCUACCCAUGGCUCGGGGAUAGCCUUUCGAAAGAAAGAUUAAUACCCGAUGGUCUGCGAUUGAGACAUCUCGAUUGCAGUAAAGACUUGUCGGCGAUGGAUGGGGAUGCGUCCGAUUAGCUAGUUGGCGGGGUAACGGCCCACCAAGGCGACGAUCGGUAGGGGUUCUGAGAGGAAGGUCCCCCACACUGGAACUGAGACACGGUCCAGACUCCUACGGGAGGCAGCAGUGAGGAAUAUUGGUCAAUGGGCGAUGGCCUGAACCAGCCAAGUGGCGUGAGGGACGACGGCCCUACGGGUUGUAAACCUCUUUUGUAUGGGAAUAAAGUGCGCCACGCGUGGCGUUUUGUAUGUACCUUACGAAUAAGCAUCGGCUAAUUCCGUGCCAGCCGCCGC
rnacentral:rRNA from 1 species